rnacentral:rRNA from 1 species
GACGAACGCUGGCGGCGUGCUUAACACAUGCAAGUCGAACGGCAGCAUGGAGAGCUUGCUCUCUGAUGGCGAGUGGCGAACGGGUGAGUAAUGCAUCGGAACGUACCGUGUAAUGGGGGAUAACGUGGCGAAAGUUACGCUAAUACCGCAUACGACCUGAGGGUGAAAGCAGGGGAUCGCAAGACCUUGCGUUAUACGAGCGGCCGAUGUCAGAUUAGCUAGUUGGUGAGGUAAAGGCUCACCAAGGCGACGAUCUGUAGCGGGUCUGAGAGGAUGAUCCGCCACACUGGGACUGAGACGCGGCCCAGACUCCUACGGGAGGCAGCAGUGGGGAAUUUUGGACAAUGGGGGCAACCCUGAUCCAGCCAUGCCGCGUGAGUGAAGAAGGCCUUCGGGUUGUAAAGCUCUUUCGGCCGGGAAGAAAUCGCACAGGCUAAUACUCUGUGUGGAUGACGGUACCGGCAUAAGAAGCACCGGCUAACUACGUGCCAGCAGCCGCAGUAA